UCAGCUUACGAAUUUGCAGACAUUAAAUCUAGAAAGUUGCGGAAAAUUAGUAGCCUUGCCUGUAAAUAUUGGGGCUUUAAAAUAUUUAAGACAGUUGGAACAUUAGUAGCCUUGCCUGUAGUAAUCUAAAAGUUUUACCUAUAGGUGUCGGAACAUUGACACGGUUAAGGUGCCUAGAUUUUACACAUACUAAUAUCAAAGAAUUGCCUGAGUCGUGCAUUAAUAAUCUUGGCAAUUUGGAGAUAAUGGGAUUUGGGGAUUGUAAACUCCCCAAAGAAAUAAAAAAAUGGCCAAAAUUGAGAAUUCUCAAAGUUGGUUUUCACGAAAAUGAGGGAAUAUCUAGAGGUAUAAGAACUCUAACUUGCCUUGAAUCAUUAGAUUUCCAUGUGGAGGAGAAUAAUGGCACCAUAUCUCGUAGUGGGAUCGAUGAAUUGGCGAAUCUAAAUUCUUUACGAGAGUUGGGGAUUUGUUUUCUCGAUUACGUGAGAGGUGGUACUGAUGCAAAGAGUGCAAAGUUAAAAGAUAAGACAAACCUCCGGAAAUUGAUUCUAGGUUGGAGGAGGAAAUGGCGUUUGAUGAGGUUUUGGAGGGCCUAACCCUAAUUUAAGAGAGUUGGAUAUAUAUUUCUUCCCGGGUUUAAGGUUUCCGAAAUGGAUGGGUUGCCUUCCGAAUUUAACGGAAUUACAGCUUGUGGGUAUCACAAAAUGUGAUAAGCUGCCGGCGCUUGGUAUGCUCCCAUGUCUUAGGAUACUUAAGUUUGAUUCUCUAAAUUCAGUCAAGUAUAUGGGUGAAGAGUUUUAUUACCAGCAAGAAGAAGAAGAAAGAAUCGUCAACAACAACAAUAAUGCAGUAUUCCCUUCAUUAGUUCAUUUGGAUAUCGGUGAUAUGGAAAAUCUAGAAGAAUGGGUUGGUCCUCUUCCGAUUUAUAAUUCAUUUCCUUGUAUUAAGAAGCUAGAAAUUAAUAAUUGCAAGAAACUGAGAAGCACGCCAAACUCGUUUCUUUUUCUUGAGGAGCUACAAAUCUGGUAUGGUUCAAAAUUGAGAAGCGCACCAAACCCAUUGCCUUUUCUUAAGGAAUUGAAAUUACGCGACACAACCAGCAACGUGGUACUCCCAAUCUUAGCUAACGGAGGUCUUCCCUCUCUUACAUUCGUUGAAAUUACAUAUUCUCCAGAGCUAAUAUAUAUUCCACUGGGCAUGCUGCUCCAAAACGUUACUCCCAAUCUUCAAGAGAUAAAGAUCUCAAAUUACUCCCGGAUUUACGAUCUUUUACUUCUCUCCGGGAAUUAUUCAUAAGGGAUUGCGACAAACUGAAGGAGUCAAUUGGCUACGAUAUCAAGACUCUUACCUUUCUUCAACACUUGGAUUUUGAUUUUAUUCAAAGCGAAUAUGAGUAUCCAGCUGAUAAAUCAUUACGUAUCCCUAACAGGUAUUGUUUUUGAGUAUUGUCGUCUCCAAAUCCAAGACACCAAUGUCAAGCCAUGGAUCAGUACGUUACAUGCAUGUAUGUGUAUAUAUAGGGAGUGAAGCUGCGGGUAAAAUGAAAGGUUGCCUAAAUCAAGGCAGGUAAAUUACGGAGAAGAUUCUUGAGAUUUUCCAAAGAUAGCGGUAAUGCCUGUUGAAUCAUUUCUCAAAGCAGUCAUGCACAGUCAAUCCGACUUGCCGG